rnacentral:rRNA from 1 species
GACGAACGCUGGCGGCGUGCUUAACACAUGCAAGUCGAACGAGUGGCGAACGGGUGAGUAAUACGUGAGUAACCUGCCCUCUUUUUGGGAUAAGCCUUGGAAACGGGGUCUAAUACCGACUAAAGGGGGAUGGGCUCGCGGCCUAUCAGGUUGUUGGUGGGGUGAUGGCAUACCAAGGCGGGUACGGGUAGCCGGCCUGAGAGGGUGACUGGCAAGAUUGUGACUGAGAGAAGGCUCAGACUCCUACGGGAGGCAGCAGUUGGGGAUAUUGCACAAUGGGCGUAAGGCUGAUGCAGGGAUGUGGCGUGGGGGAUGAAGGCUUGCGGGUUGUAAACCUCUUUCGCUAUCGAAAGUGUAGGUGGGGAAGAGGCGCCGGCUAACUACGUGCCAGAGCCGCGGUAAUAC